rnacentral:rRNA from 1 species
UGCCAGCCGCCGCGGUAAUACGGAGGGUGCAAGCGUUAAUCGGAAUUACUGGGCGUAAAGCGCACGCAGGCGGUCUGUCAAGUCGGAUGUGAAAUCCCCGGGCUCAACCUGGGAACUGCAUUCGAAACUGGCAGGCUAGAGUCUUGUAGAGGGGGGUAGAAUUCCAGGUGUAGCGGUGAAAUGCGUAGAGAUCUGGAGGAAUACCGGUGGCGAAGGCGGCCCCCUGGACAAAGACUGACGCUCAGGUGCGAAAGCGUGGGGAGCAAACAGGAUUAGAUACCCUGGUAGUCCACGCCGUAAACGAUGUCGACUUGGAGGUUGUGCCCUUGAGGCGUGGCUUCCGGAGCUAACGCGUUAAGUCGACCGCCUGGGGAGUACGGCCGCAAGGUUAAAACUCAAAUGAAUUGACGGGGGCCCGCACAAGCGGUGGAGCAUGUGGUUUAAUUCGAUGCAACGCGAAGAACCUUACCUACUCUUGACAUCCAGAGAACUUAGCAGAGAUGCUUUGGUGCCUUCGGGAACUCUGAGACAGGUGCUGCAUGGCUGUCGUCAGCUCGUGUUGUGAAAUGUUGGGUUAAGUCCCGCAACGAGCGCAACCCUUA